UGCCAGCCGCCGCGGUAACACGGGGGGCGCAAGCGUUAUUCGGAAUUAUUGGGCGUAAAGGGCGCGCAGGCGGUCUUGUCAGUCAGGUGUGAAAGCCCGGGGCUCAACCCCGGAUGGUCACUUGAAACAGCAAGACUUGAGUACUGGAGAGGAAAGCGGAAUUCCUGGUGUAGAGGUGAAAUUCGUAGAUAUCAGGAGGAACACCGAUGGCGAAGGCAGCUUUCUGGACAGAUACUGACGCUGAGGCGCGAAGGCGUGGGUAGCGAACGGGAUUAGAUA
rnacentral:rRNA from 1 species